UGAAAGUGGGCUAACGUGGCGCUCCCCAUCGUCGCCCCCCCCCCCUUGCCCGCCAUGUUUCCUGAACACAAAAUGGCGACACGUGGCCUGGAUUCGUCGCUCAGGAGAAAUUGGGGUCGCCCGAAAGCUCUAGAACGUGCCGCCUCCUGUUUACUGGGACUUCCCUGCCACGCGAGUCCUUAAGAUCCUUCCUGUAGGCUGGUCCGAAACGUGGCGGAAGAAGUUUAAUCCUCCCUCCUUUAAUUUGAAAGGAGAAUGUGAAUAAUAGUAAAAUCAGAGGAAGACACUUAAGCCCAGAGAAAUGAAGUGAGCCAUUCAAGGUCAUACAUUGUCCGGGAUGGAAUCCAGACCUUCUGAUUUCCUUACUGAUCUGGAUUAACUUUUGAAUUCCACAUUACCCAUUUUAUGGAUGAAGCUACUGAGAUAUGGAACAAUGGAUUGAAUAGUCACCGCCCCAACCCUGGAAUCUCAUACAGGACUCUUCUCACUCAAAUGACCACAGGUCACAUGAUAAGUCAAGAGUAAAGAAGGUGUCUUUGGAACUAGCUUCUUAUAGCCCGAAUUCUGACUCAACCACUUGUUGUGUGACCUUAGCUCGGUUGCCCUGACCCUACAGAAUGUAAGUCCCAUGCUGCUGGAGACCAUCUUGUCACCCUAAGGAGAAUACUGCCCAAGAAUGAAGGCAACACAGAUGACAGCUGAGCUGUGAGAUGGCGAAAACUGGAGACCAGAUGGUGUCUUGAGUACCUGGAUGUAACCAUGUGUUAAAUUGGUGGAAUCCUGGGCGCUUAUUUUGUGUGGACCUAGACUUUCCCCUUUUUCCCCUUAUAGAAGUUUGAUUUGAAUCGUCACCUGCUGCCAGAAGUGUCUUAAUUAAUCCAUGUCAUAAAUGGUAUAUCAUUCUCUUACA